UCGAAAGAUGCGCUUAAUCUUUUAAAGAGCGGGGGAUCCAACCGGCAUACACAUGCCUCGGGGUGAAUCCUUUACAGGUAGGGCACUCUCAAAGCCCGAAUCCGACAGCUAACCUCGUAAGCGUUAUUGAGAGGACAA
rnacentral:sRNA from 17 species